rnacentral:rRNA from 2 species
GGGUUGUGAGGUUAAGCGACUAAGCGUACACGGUGGAUGCCCUGGCAGUCAGAGGCGAUGAAGGACGUGCUAAUCUGCGAAAAGCGCCGGCGAGGUGAUAUGAACCUUUGACCCGGCGAUGUCCGAAUGGGGAAACCCAGUGUGAUUCGUCACACUAUCGUUAACUGAAUACAUAGGUUAACGAGGCGAACCGGGGGAACUGAAACAUCUAAGUACCCCGAGGAAAAGAAAUCAACCGAGAUUCCCCCAGUAGCGGCGAGCGAACGGGGAGCAGCCCAGAGUCUGAAUCAGCUUGUGUGUUAGUGGAAGCGUCUGGAAAGUCGCACGGUACAGGGUGACAGUCCCGUACACGAAAGCACACAGGUUGUGAACUCGAAGAGUAGGGCGGGACACGUGGUAUCCUGUCUGAAUAUGGGGGGACCAUCCUCCAAGGCUAAAUACUCCUGACUGACCGAUAGUGAACCAGUACCGUGAGGGAAAGGCGAAAAGAACCCCGGCGAGGGGAGUGAAAUAGAACCUGAAACCGUGUACGUACAAGCAGUGGGAGCACCUUCGUGGUGUGACUGCGUACCUUUUGUAUAAUGGGUCAGCGACUUAUAUUCUGUAGCAAGGUUAACCGUAUAGGGGAGCCGAAGGGAAACCGAGUCUUAACUGGGCGUUAAGUUGCAGGGUAUAGACCCGAAACCCGGUGAUCUAGCCAUGGGCAGGUUGAAGGUUGGGUAACACUAACUGGAGGACCGAACCGACUAAUGUUGAAAAAUUAGCGGAUGACUUGUGGCUGGGGGUGAAAGGCCAAUCAAACCGGGAGAUAGCUGGUUCUCCCCGAAAGCUAUUUAGGUAGCGCCUCGUGAACUCAUCUUCGGGGGUAGAGCACUGUUUCGGCUAGGGGGCCAUCCCGGCUUACCAACCCGAUGCAAACUACGAAUACCGAAGAAUGUUAUCACGGGAGACACACGGCGGGUGCUAACGUCCGUCGUGAAGAGGGAAACAACCCAGACCGCCAGCUAAGGUCCCAAAGUCAUUGUUAAGUGGGAAACGAUGUGGGAAGGCACAGACAGCCAGGAUGUUGGCUUAGAAGCAGCCAUCAUUUAAAGAAAGCGUAAUAGCUCACUGGUCGAGUCGGCCUGCGCGGAAGAUGUAACGGGGCUAAACCAUGCACCGAAGCUGCGGCAGCGACACUAUGUGUUGUUGGGUAGGGGAGCGUUCUGUAAGCCGUUGAAGGUGGCCUGUGAGGGUUGCUGGAGGUAUCAGAAGUGCGAAUGCUGACAUAAGUAACGAUAAAGCGGGUGAAAAGCCCGCUCGCCGGAAGACCAAGGGUUCCUGUCCAACGUUAAUCGGGGCAGGGUGAGUCGACCCCUAAGGCGAGGCCGAAAGGCGUAGUCGAUGGGAAACAGGUUAAUAUUCCUGUACUUGGUGUUACUGCGAAGGGGGGACGGAGAAGGCUAUGUUAGCCGGGCGACGGUUGUCCCGGUUUAAGCAUGUAGGCGGAACGAUUAGGUAAAUCCGGUCGUUUUUUAACGCUGAGGUGUGAUGACGAGGCACUACGGUGCUGAAGUAACAAAUGCCCUGCUUCCAGGAAAAGCCUCUAAGCAUCAGGUAACAUCAAAUCGUACCCCAAACCGACACAGGUGGUCAGGUAGAGAAUACCAAGGCGCUUGAGAGAACUCGGGUGAAGGAACUAGGCAAAAUGGUGCCGUAACUUCGGGAGAAGGCACGCUGAUAUGUAGGUGAAGCCCCUGCGGGUGGAGCUGAAAUCAGUCGAAGAUACCAGCUGGCUGCAACUGUUUAUUAAAAACACAGCACUGUGCAAACACGAAAGUGGACGUAUACGGUGUGACGCCUGCCCGGUGCCGGAAGGUUAAUUGAUGGGGUUAGCGGUAACGCGAAGCUCUUGAUCGAAGCCCCGGUAAACGGCGGCCGUAACUAUAACGGUCCUAAGGUAGCGAAAUUCCUUGUCGGGUAAGUUCCGACCUGCACGAAUGGCGUAAUGAUGGCCAGGCUGUCUCCACCCGAGACUCAGUGAAAUUGAACUCGCUGUGAAGAUGCAGUGUACCCGCGGCAAGACGGAAAGACCCCGUGAACCUUUACUAUAGCUUGACACUGAACACUGGUCCUUGAUGUGUAGGAUAGGUGGGAGGCUUUGAAGCGUGGACGCCAGUCUGCGUGGAGCCGUCCUUGAAAUACCACCCUUUAAUGGCUGGUGUUCUAACGUAGACCGUAAUCGGGUUGCGGACAGUGUCUGGUGGUUAGUUUGACUGGGGCGGUCUCCUCCCAAAGAGUAACGGAGGAGCACGAAAGUUAGCUAAUCCUGGUCGGACAUCCAGGGAGGUUAGUGCAAUGGCAUAGAGCUAGCUUGACUGCGAGAGUGACGGCUCGAGCAGGUGCGAAAGCAGGUCAUAGUGAUCCGGUGGUUCUGAAUGGAAGGGCCAUCGCUCAACGGAUAAAAGGUACUCCGGGGGAUAACAGGCUGAUACCGCCCAAGAGUUCAUAUCGACGGCGGUGUUUGGCACCUCGAUGUCGGCUCAUCACAUCCUGGGGCUGAAGUAGGUCCAAGGGUAUGGCUGUUCGCCAUUUAAAGUGGUACGCGAGCUGGGUUUAGAACGUCGUGAGACAGUUCGGUCCCCUAUCUGCCGUGGCGCUGGAGAAUUGAGGGGGGCUGCUCUAGUACGAGAGGACCGAGUGGACGCAUCACUGGUGUUCGGGUUGUCAUGCCAAUGGCACUGCCCGGUAGCUAAAUGCGGAAAAGAUAAGUGCUGAAAGCAUCUAAGCACGAAACUUGCCCGAGAUGAGUUCUCCCUGAGACUUUAAGUCUCCUGAAGGAACGUUGAAGACGACGACGUUGAUAGGUCGGGUGUGUAAGCGCAGCGAUGCGUUGAGCUAACCGAUACUAAUGAACCGUGAGGCUUAACCUUACAACGCCGAAG